GGAGGCAUAGCUCAGCUGGUAGAGCACAUGCUCCACACGCAUGGGGUCACAGGUUCGAGCCCUGUUGUCUCCACCA
rnacentral:tRNA from 1 species